rnacentral:lncRNA from 1 species
CGGCACACCAAAGUCCCUAAGUAUCAGCCAAAGGCCUCCCAAACACACACACCUGAACAAGUAAGUGCCUUCUUGUCCGUUCUUGUCCGUCUCCUUCACCUUUCGGUUUGCUCAGUUCUGUUCGUUCCUAGCCAGUCUUCUCUCCCCACUUAGCCUAGCAGACUUUAACUCUAACCUUCUCUAAUCCUCCCCCUUAUGUGCUCACCAAAAUCCCUAAGUAUCGGCCUGCUAGAACCCCCCUUUCCCCUACGGUUCAACGAAUGUAUCACCUUCUUCCUCCGUUUACUAUUUUCGAACACAACUCCACCUCAAAUCAUUUCCUUAAUCCGUAUUCCCUACAUCUGUAACCAUUGGUUAACCUGCAAUACAUAAAUUCAAGAUACAUUGCCACAAUACAGUUUUGAACUCUAAAUUCUUCUUACCUCUUGCUUCCAUACUCCUCUAUCUCACCAAAUCUACCGCGACCUCACCUCUUCCAGAAACUUCCGAUCAAUUGCACCUUCGAUCACUCGCCUCUCGCAAUCGUCUCCCUCUCUCUCUCCUACACUCUCUGUUUUCCUUUUUUCCCUUCUUUCCCUCUUUUCUUUCUUCUCUCUGCCCUACACACUUUUUAUAUCCCACCCAACAUCCCAUCCUAACCAUUGAUUAUACCCAUCCCAUCCCAACCGUCCAUCCCACUCCCUUACAUAUCUAUUACAUUAUAUAACAAGUAUACUGUCUAAAAGUUCUUAAUGAAGGUUCCUAUACCUGGCAUCGCACCCAAAUUAAUUGCGUGGUGAGAUAAAAUUAGAGUUUAAAAAUACUAGGUGGCAGGUUC